rnacentral:lncRNA from 1 species
GAACGAGCAAUCUCAAAAAUUAUUUCCUCUACCCUGGUUUUCAACUCCUUCCUACCAUUAAGACUGAUUACAUGGCGUCUUAUGUUGAGCUUAAGAUCUACUCCAGGUACCCUUUCUUUCAGUCCAUGCAGAUCCGGUCCAAAGUUCUUAAUCACUUGCUUCAUUAAAUCAGGAGGUAAAUCCCUCCCUCUCAGAUGGAUUUCUAACUGCUUUUCUUCAUGUAGAGAAAGGAGGGAUUGAAUCACCUUGUCAUGAGCCAAAGCAACCUUGUUUGGGGAACCAAACACACGUAAAUUCAAGUUGUGCCUGUCAAAAAGAAUAUAAGUU